AAUGAGGUGCCUGAUAAAAGGGCUAUCUUGAUAGGAUAGAUCAUAUAAUUUUUUAAUUAUUCUCAUUA
rnacentral:tRNA from 1 species